GAUGAACGCUGGCGGCGUGCCUAAUACAUGCAAGUCGAGCGAACGGACGAUAAGCUUUCUUCUCUGAGGUUAGCGGCGGACGGGUGAGUAACACGUGGAUAACCUACCUAUAUUACUUGGAUCAAUUCGGGAAACCAGUGCUGAUUACAGAUAAUAUUUUGAACCGCUUGAUUCAAAAGUUCAAGACGGUCUUCCUGUCACUAAUAGAUGGAUCCGCGCUGCAUUAGCUAGUUGGUAAGGUAACGGCUUACCAAGGCAACGAUGCAUAGCCGACCUGAGAGGGUGAUCGGCCACACUGGAACUGAGACACGGUCCAGACUCCUACGGGAGGCAGCAGUAGGGAAUAUUCCGCAAUGGGCGAAAGCCUGAUCCAGCAACGCCGCGUGAGUGAUGAAGGUCUUCGGAUUGUAAAACUCUGUUAUUAGGAAAGAACAGAUGUGUAAGUAACCGUGCACAUCUUGACGGUACCUAAACAGAAAGCAACGGCUAACUACGUG
rnacentral:rRNA from 1 species